UGGGAGGAAGUGUUUAGCACGUUAAUCUGUAAAUUAAAAGAGAGUAUAGCUCUCUCCCAA
rnacentral:tRNA from 1 species